GCUCCGUGGCUUUAGAAACCCUAAGCCCUUUCUCCCACAUGUCGCAGCUCUGUGUCUCUUUUCUCUCGGACCCCAUUUCUCUCUAAAACGAAGAGACUCUCUCGGAGCUCUUCCCAUUUUCAAAACUCUCAAGCCCAGUCAUCAGUUGGAACCUCCCGUUAAAACAGCGAAAUAUGUCUGAGAACUAUUUUCCUUGAUGUGUCUCUGUGGAAGCUUACACUAAUGUUCUUCUGUAUUAGGUACCCUAGAUUCACCAAGAGACUGAAAAGAUUGACUCGAAUAGUCUCCAAACUCACGGAUCUGCAAAUUUUUUGAGCGUAGAACCCAGAGAAAACAACCCCUAAGCUGCCGGUCCAGUGGUCCCAGAAGGCAAAAUAAACGGCAAAUGUCUCGGCCUCUGCAAAUCAGGAAGGGAACCUUCAUUCUGGAAGAUGGACAAGAGCAAACCAAAGGAAGAUGAGUUCGGUCAUCACAGAUCCCAAACGGCAACUGCAGCGGACGAAUCAUGGCAAAAGCUUCCACGAACCCCAGAUCUGUGCAUCUGGGAGGCGACGGAAGAUAGGUACAUAAAUAAAGGAGCUUACAUCGUUCUAGAACCCCUUACUUUUGAUAAUCCUGUUAUCCGUAGCUUCGAAGAAAUCACUCCAAGACCUCAGAACUGCUGCUACUGUUCUGACUACUAAAUUGAACCCGAACAAAAAUAUGUCCGCGCACAGGGGUGACCGCAGCUAAUGUCCGCGCGCGGGGGUGACCGUGUUUAAUGUCCGUGUGGAUCAAUAUUUUACGGCAAGGUGACCUUUUGUUGGGAGAAUACCACACCAAUAACCUGGCUGGAUUGACCUUUGUGUGUGAUUCCCAUUUCCAAUCUUCAUCCCUUGAUCAUCUUCCUCAAGUUUGAUUUCCACAGAAGCUCAUCUCCGUACAUACAUGUGGGAUGUCACGGUAAAAACAAUUCAAACAAAUUACGCAUUUUUUUAUAUAACAAGGCGUGGUUGAAUUUGAAAUACCGUGACAUUCCAAUUGCGGGGAAGUUGUUCGCAUUGGUCCUAGAAUAUUUAAAAUUCCAUUCAAACUCAGAUAUCAAAGGACAACAACCUGAAUAUUCAAAGUGCACUUAAUUUGGCAACGUUAUUACUUAAACAGUUGCUUUCUAUCAUUUUUAUUGGUUUUAGGGUGGAAAGUGAAGCAAUUUUCAAGUGUGAUGUGCUGUACUAAGGGCUCCAUCCGUGUGGGAUUGCUUGGUCUCAAACCAAUCUUAAUGAAGCAAAGGCUUGUUUAAAAGUGUUUUUAAAAAAU